rnacentral:rRNA from 1 species
GCAUAUCAAUAAGCGGAGGAAAAGAAACCAACAGGGAUUGCCCUAGUAACGGCGAGUGAAGCGGCAACAGCUCAAAUUUGAAAUCUGGCUUCGGCCCGAGUUGUAAUUUGUAGAGGAAGCUUUAGGCGCGGCACCUUCUGAGUCCCCUGGAACGGGGCGCCAUAGAGGGUGAGAGCCCCGUGUAGUUGGAUGCCUAGCCUGUGUAAAGCUCCUUCGACGAGUCGAGUAGUUUGGGAAUGCUGCUCAAAAUGGGAGGUAAAUUUCUUCUAAAGCUAAAUACCGGCCAGAGACCGAUAGCGCACAAGUAGAGUGAUCGAAAGAUGAAAAGCACUUUGAAAAGAGGGUUAAAUAGCACGUGAAAUUGUUGAAAGGGAAGCGCUUGUGACCAGACUUGCGCCGGGCUGAUCAUCCGGUGUUCUCACCGGUGCACUCUGCCCGGCUCAGGCCAGCAUCGGUUCUCGCGGGGGGAUAAAGGCCCGGGGAAUGUAGCUCCUCCGGGAGUGUUAUAGCCCCGGGCGUAAUACCCUCGCGGGGACCGAGGUUCGCGCGUCUGCAAGGAUG